CAUGCAGUCGAGCGGAACGAGUUAUCUGAACCUUCGGGGAACGAUAACGGCGUCGAGCGGCGGACGGGUGAGUAAUGCCUAGGAAAUUGCCCUGAUGUGGGGGAUAACCAUUGGAAACGAUGGCUAAUACCGCAUGAUGCCUACGGGCCAAAGAGGGGGACCUUCGGGCCUCUCGCGUCAGGAUAUGCCUAGGUGGGAUUAGCUAGUUGGUGAGGUAAGGGCUCACCAAGGCGACGAUCCCUAGCUGGUCUGAGAGGAUGAUCAGCCACACUGGAACUGAGACACGGUCCAGACUCCUACGGGAGGCAGCAGUGGGGAAUAUUGCACAAUGGGCGCAAGCCUGAUGCAGCCAUGCCGCGUGUAUGAAGAAGGCCUUCGGGUUGUAAAGCACUUUCAGCCGUGAGGAAGGUGGUGUAGUUAAUAGCUGCAUUAUUUGACGUUAGCUGCAGAAGAAGCACCGGCUAACUCCGUGCCAGCAGCCGCGGUAAUACGGAGGGUGCGAGCGUUAAUCG
rnacentral:rRNA from 1 species